rnacentral:rRNA from 1 species
CUAGCGACUUCAGAGUUUGAUCCUGGCUCAGGAUGAACGCUGGCGGCGUGCUUAACACAUGCAAGUCGAACGAAGCAACUGUGAUUGAGACUUCGGUGGAUUGAUCAGUUGACUUAGUGGCGGACGGGUGAGUAACGCGUGGGUAACCUGCCUUGUACAGGGGGAUAACAGUUAGAAAUGACUGCUAAUACCGCAUAACCCGCUAAGGUCGCAUGACCUAGACGGAAAAGAUUUAUCGGUACAAGAUGGACCCGCGUCUGAUUAGCUAGUUGGUGAGGUAACGGCCCACCAAGGCGACGAUCAGUAGCCGGCCUGAGAGGGUGACCGGCCACAUUGGGACUGAGACACGGCCCAA